rnacentral:tRNA from 1 species
GCCUCUAUGGUGGAAUUGGUAGACACAAAGGACUUAAAAUCCUUCGGAGUAAAACCCGUACCGGUUCAAAUCCGGUUAGAGGUA